rnacentral:rRNA from 1 species
GACGAACGCUGGCGGCGUGCUUAACACAUGCAAGUCGAACGAGGCCCUCCUUCGGGAGGUGUCCUAGUGGCGAACGGGUGAGUAACACGUGGGCAACCUGCCCCCGGCUCCGGGAUAACCCCAAGAAAUUGGGGCUAAUACCGGAUAUGACCGCUGACCGCAUGGUCGGUGGUGGAAAGGGUUUCCGGCUGGGGAUGGGCCCGCGGCCUAUCAGCUUGUUGGUGGGGUAGUGGCCUACCAAGGCGACGACGGGUAGCCGGCCUGAGAGGGUGACCGGCCACACUGGGACUGAGACACGGCCCAGACUCCUACGGGAGGCAGCAGUGGGGAAUAUUGCGCAAUGGGCGAAAGCCUGACGCAGCGACGCCGCGUGAGGGAUGACGGCCUUCGGGUUGUAAACCUCUUUCAGCAGGGACGAAGCGCAAGUGACGGUACCUGCAGAAGAAGCACCGGCCAACUACGUGCCAGCCGCCGCGGUAAAAC